ACAAGAUUACACCCAAAUCAGCCCAAUGCGCGAGUUAGGUUAGGUUUUCAUUCCUCUCUCUCUCUCUCGCAGGUUCUCUCUUCUCCGCCGAAACCCCUCUCUAUUUUUUCUACUUCGAUCCUCUCACUCUCAGUCGAUCAGCCACCGCGCCGCCUCAAUCCCUGCACGCAGUGAGCGCAAUGGCAGGCAGAGAAGUUCGAGAGUACACCAAUCUCUCCGACCCAAAAGAUAAGAAAUGGGGGAAAGGGAAAGAUAAGAUAGACGAUGAAGACAUCACAUUCCAACGCAUGGUUGCCAAGAUGCAAGAGGUUGCAGGAGAACGUGGAGGAUACCUUCAUGGCCGAGGCGCCUUGGACAGUGAUGACCUACUAUAUCUCAAGGAGCAGAUGGAAGCUGAGGAGGAUGCAGAGCGCCUCCUUCGUCGCACCGAGAAGCGAGCAUUUGCUGCAUUUAAGAUAUCCUUUCAUGAAAUUUCUUCUAGCCUCUCUGCAUGCAUAGUCUGCACACAUUGGAUUAUUACAUCUCUCUCCUCUCCCUCUUCUCUCUUGUCUUCCUUAACCAAUGAACACAAAGCUGCAAGUCUGGCAGAUUCUUCACCUGCAUCGGUUCCCUUGCCACUUCGUGUUGAGCCCAAGCAAAAGAGUGGGAUCAGACAGCAAGAUCUACUGAAAAAGGUCAUCGAAAUUAAACCCAAGCGGCAUAAAGUUUCAAGCAGAUCUGAUGGUAAUCAGUCCCACCCAAAUUUGAUUGUUAGUGCUUCGACAAAUCUUGAGUCUGAAAAUGACCAAGUGAAGGACAAAGUGCAUGUGUCGUCGUCACACAGAAUAAAGGGCGAGUCUGAAGGGAAAACUAUGUUAGGAUUAGCAUAUGCAAGUUCUGACAAUGAAGAGGAUUAAAGAAACAACUCUGAUGGAGCACAAUAAUUUUUUCUUUCUUUUCUUUUUUCCGCAUUACAUGCAUAUCUAGAGAAGCACGGUGUAAUUUGUUUUUGGUACUCGGGGAUGGUUGCCGUCUUUGAUGUGCCUUUUCCCUAUCAUAUCUCCAUGAGCUCGAGGCUGCUUAGCAUCUGGAUAUUUUGGUGCAUGUUAGAGCACCCAAUGACCUUAUCAACGACCCCACUGAUUUGCCAUCAGCAACUUGGAAAAUUUGUUGCCAGUUAUAUUUUGGCUCUGCUCCAUCUAGACCUGUUUUAAGGAAAGAUGCCCUAUUUUCAAAAAUAUCUCCUACAGAGUAAAGGGUACAGGAGUUGUUCCCAAUGGCGUCCUUCCUCCAAGUGACCUGUGGGAAUAGACGAGUUAUCUUGUAUAAGUAGAUUUAUCACGUAACGAAGUUUCAUUUAUUUGUUUAUUUGUAACGAGUUUUAGGGUUUUUUAGGAUGAUGUUAAACAAAUUCUAAAAUUAAUUGAAUAUACUCUAUUAUUUAAGUACA